UAUUCAAGGAUUGAGGAGCAUAUGGAGAUUGUUAAAGAGAACACCAGCUGGUCCACACGCUGGUUGACCUGGGAAUUUUGCACCCACAGUAUAUAACUAUCUAUGGCACUCAAAGCCCAACACCUCAUAGAAUUCUAAUAAAUCUGCUCAGUCACAUGUACAGCAAGACAUCUAGAUAUUUUGAAAUUUCAGGCUAGAAAGUCAUGGACAACUUACUAACCUUCUCUGAACGUUCCUACAUGGUGAGGUUGUGAUGAUUAACAAGGAAACAUCUGCAAUACACAGAAACCAUCCUUCAGCUCUACAUAAGCAUGAACUGCCUUGCAAAAUUCCAAAAGAACAAAAUUCAGCCAAUAUUUUAGAGAAUGACAUCUGAGAUGACACUUAAAGAUUUCCAUGUUGACCCUUGGACCCCAAGAAAAGGUGACAGAAGGGGGUCAUGGAUGAACUUUAGGGAAUCAGUGACCCCCUCAAAAAGCAUUUAUGCAAAAAUGAUUAUGUCUUAAUGGGCAUUUUUUGGCAGACAUUGCCAUGGCUUUCAUCAGAUUGAAGAAGAGAUGCAGAAGUCGACUAAAAUCCCUGCAUUUCAACCAAAAUACCACUGACCCUAGAAUUCAA